rnacentral:lncRNA from 1 species
AGGCCUGCCUUCUCUCCCUAACGAUCUUCCUCGUCCCCGGGCCAACUCGGACAGUUUGCUCUUUUAUUGCAACGGUCAAGGCUGGCUCGUGCCAGAACAGCGCGCGCGCGCACACGCACACAGACACGCCGGGGAAAACUUUUUUAAAAAAAUGAAAGCCUAGGCGAGCUCCUCGGCGGCCGGGCGCUGCGCGAGGGCUUCGGAGUUGCCUCCCUGCAGCAGGAAAUCCCUCGGGUCGCGACGCCCGGCCCCCGCUCGGCGCCCGCGUGGGAUGGUGCAGCGCCCGCCGCCCGGCCCGAGAGCUGCUGCACUGAAGGCCGGCGACGAUGGCAGCACGCCCGCCGCCCGCGCCCCCCGCCCGCGCCCUCCUGCUCGCCCUGGCCGGGGCUCUGCUCGCGCCGCGCGCGGCCCGAGGGGUGAACUUGGGGAGCGGAUUCCCACCUUCUGUGCAAGGGGGAGGAGCUUAUGAAGUGGUCAGUGCCUCGCUUUUGAACGGUGACCCCUGGACCCCAAGGAAGAAUUCGGACUCAAAGGUCAGCUUUUUGUUUUGAUUUUCUUCUUGACUUUCCGAUGGCUGAUGUUGAAAAAUCACAUGAGCUGCAUUUACAUUCUUUUGUGUGAAAAUCUGAUUUCCUUUUUUAUUAGUUGAUUAAGGAUGUUGUGCCAAUUUUUGCCAUACAGCAUAGUAACCCAGUCAUACCUAUAUACACAUUCUUUUUCUCAUAUUUUCUUCAAUCCGUGGUCUAUCUCAAGAGAUCGGACAUAGUUCCCUGUGCUGCACAGCAGGACCUCAUUGCUUAUCCAGUCCAAAUGGAAUCCUUUGCAUCUACUAAGCCCAAACUCCCCUUCGAUCCCACUCCCUCCCCUUUCCCCUUGAAUAAAAGAAUGUAAAUGCAUUCACAUUCUUUUGUUCCAGUUUUGUCUUGGUCUAUUUUUUUUCAUGAUUUUUAAAUUUUUUUCCAUUAUAGUUGGUUUGCAGUGUCCUGUCAGUUUUCUACUGUACAGCAAGGAGACCCAGUCACACAUGCAUAUACAGACAUUCUUUUUCUCACAUUGUCCUCCAUCCUGCUCCGUCACAAGUGACUAGAUGUAGUUCCCAGAGCCGUUCAGCAGGAUCUCAUUGCUUAUCUAUUCCAAAGCCAAUAGUUUGCAUCUCUUAACCCCAGAUUCCCAGACCAUCCCACUGUCUUGGUCUAUUUCAACCCCAACUAUUUCCUUCCUCACAAAGUGAAAUCCUGAUGAUUAAGAAGCUGAGAUACAAAGUGAUUUUGAUGUGACAGUUCUAAUGAGUGUCCUAGGACCGAGCAUCUGCUGAAAGGUUUUUUUUUUUGGAUACACACCAUGGAUAGCGUUUCCGUAUACACAACUUCUGGUUCACACGAGUGCUGCGUAUUUCUCGAUAUUCAGGUCUAUUUCCUCCAUAUUUUGGUUUUAUUGACCAGUUAUUUGUCAAAACAUUGUAGCACUUUUUAAAAAACAUUUGUAAUGAGUUUUAAUAGCGUUUUAUGCUUUGUUUACCUUGCCACAUGUUCGAGUCGCCUAUGAUGUAAAAGAAUAACAUAAAAUAGUUGGAGUAUUUGUGAUUAAAUCUAAUAUUUCAGCGAGCUUUAGCUGACAAAUCUACAUGACUGUCUUACAUGUUAGAACUUGUUGGAACAGUUGGAAAGUGAUAAAAUCUAUAGAAAUAUGAGCUCUUUGGAGCUAUCAUAGUCAUGUCUUUGUCCUUGGGUUAUGGGGAGCUAUUUUUAGAUUAUUUGUUAUAACAGAAAACAGAUUUUUUUUUUAAAGAGUCGUUGAGAUGGUGAAAAUCCUCUGUAGUGGUCCGGAUGUGCUGAAGUGGGCUGCCUUUAGGUGGGUAAUGAUAAUAUGAUUUACGUCUUUAUUUUAUUUUCCACAGAGGCUUUCAGCUGAAAGUGAGCUUUUCAGAAAGGCUGGAGGUUUGGUUAAAGGAUCCAAAUGUCGCAUCUAAACUUCUUCAAUAUUUCUGUUUCGUGGAGACCGCUGCAAGCCAGAUGUAUAAAGUAUAAGUCAGUCUUAGUGACAGUGAUGCUAUUUCCUGGAAGAAAAACUUAAGACAUUAAAGAAAAUGUUAUCAUGCCAUUAAUUUGUAAAAUCAGGAAUGAUAUGAUAAAUUCAGAAAAAGAGAAGUAUACUAUCUUAUAAAGAAAGUGUAUCGAAUAUAUUUAUAGGCACUAAUUAAUAACAUACAAAUAUGGAACAAUCUGAAGUUUUGUGGAUAGUGGAAGCCUUUAUGGGAACUUUCCCUGGUGGUAGGGUUGCUAGAUUUAGCAAAUAAAAGUACCAAAUGGCCCAUUAAACUUGGGCUUGAGGAGUUCCUGUUGUGGCUCAGCGGUAACAGAUCCAACUACUAUCUGUGAGGAUGCAAGUUCGAACCCUGGCCUCGCUCAGUGGGUUAAGGAUCUGGCGUUGCUGUGAGCUGUGGUGUAGGUCGCAGAUGCGGCUUGGCUCCCAUGUUGCUGUGGCUAUGGUGUAGGCCAGCAGCUAUAGCUCUGAUUCAACCCCUAGCCUGGGAACUUCAUAUACUGUGGAUGCGGCCCUAAAAACAAAACAAAACAAAUCAAAACAACUCAGACUUGAAUAAAUUAUGGUUUUUCUUGGUAUAGGUAUAUCCCAUGCUAUAUUUAAGAUGUUGUGUAUCAAAAUCCACCUUUCAUGGGUGCCUUGUGUUUAAUCUGGCAACCCUGCUUGGAUGCUAUCAAAGCAGCAAGCUAAGAAGCAUCCUCAGUGUGCCAUUAGAACGGACAGUGCACAUUGGCUCUAGUUUCUGACCUCCAGCCCCAUCCUUCCUGCCAUCCAGCCACCUACCUCACAGAUGUCAGGAGGCAUGACGGAGCAGGAAUUGGCAUCUCCACCCUGCCACGCUUAUAACCCGGUGACUAGGGGGCCACUGCUCCAUCUUUAUAGGAAACUGGGGAGGACGGCUAUUGUUUGAUAGCUGUUCCAACCCCUCUAAGAUGCUCCCUCCAGGACCAGAACAGUGCAGGUGGGAGGCAUAUACCUACUGACCAAUGUAAUUCCAGGUUAUUGACGUUAUUGAAGGGAAUAGGGACUUGGGUAACUUGGGGAACAGCAUUUUGACGUCAUGCCCCGGGCUCAUCUAAGCACAUGGCUCAUAGAGUCAGCAUUAUGGCUUUGUAAUUACCAUGUGCACCCCUAUUUGGCACUUAACCACUAAGACCCUGUAUGCCAAGGGGUGCGUGUACAUGUCUGUUGAACGUGUGUGUCCACACGUUAUAAUUCUCCGCGGGGUAGAUUCGUGUAUUUGUUGUGAGAACAGGGAUUCUGGCUGAAGGUGUGUAUGUGCAGGUCUUCCCUUGCUAACAAAAAUAAUGGUCAACAUUGUAAUUUUUUUUUUCAAUUUUACCCCUAUUUGAUAAAAUUACCUAAAAAGAAAUAAUAUAGCACAGAAUUGAAAUGAUGAUGGUGUGUCACUUUGGAAUUACAGUAUCAACAUUGUCAUUUUAAACUGCAUUAAAAUCGCAUCUUCCAGAAUGUAGCCUUUGGGAUGGAUUAGCAAUGGGAUCCCGCCGUGUAGCUCUGGGAACUCUGUCUAGUCACUUAUGAUGGAAUGCUUAAUGUGAGAACAAAGAAGGUGUUACAUGUAUGUGUAACUGGGUCACCAUGCUGUACAG